rnacentral:rRNA from 1 species
UGGGGAAUAUUGGACAAUGGGCGCAAGCCUGAUCCAGCCAUGCCGCGUGAGUGACGAAGGCCUUAGGGUUGUAAAGCUCUUUUGGCGGGGAAGAUAAUGACGGUACCCGCAGAAUAAGCUCCGGCUAACUUCGCGCCAGCAGCCGCGGUAAUACGAAGGGACCAAGCGUUGUUCGGAAUCACUGGGCGUAAAGCGCACGUAGGUGGGCAGUUAAGUCAGGGGUGAAAGCCCGAGGCUCAACCUCGGAAUUGCCUCUGAUACUGGCUGUCUAGAGUUCGAGAGAGGUGAGUGGAAUUCCUAGUGUAGAGGUGAAAUUCGUAGAUAUUAGGAAGAACACCGGUGGCGAAGGCGGCUCACUGGCUCGAUACUGACACUGAGGUGCGAAAGCGUGGGGAGCAAACAGGAUUAGAUACCCAUGUAGUCCCUGAGCGGGCUGGCAAGGCGCAU